rnacentral:rRNA from 1 species
UUAUGUGAUCGUCUCUCGCAUAUCAAUAAGCGGAGGAAAAGAAACUAACAAGGAUUCCCCUAGUAACGGCUAGUGAAGCGGGAAGAGCUCAAAUUUGAAAUCUUAAAGGGUUUCCCUUUACGAAUUGUAGUUUAAAGAAGUGUUUUCUGUUGAGGUUUUGGUAAAAGUUCUUUGGAAUAGGACAUCAUAGAGGGUGAGAAUCCCGUAUUUGACCUUUACUUUCAACUUUGUGAUACACUUUCAAAGAGUCGGAUUGUUUGGGAAUGCAGUCCAAAAUGGGUGGUAAAUUUCAUCUAAAGCUAAAUAUUGGCGAGAGACUGAUAGCGAACAAGUACCGUGAGGGAAAGAUGAAAAGAACUUUGAAAAGAGAGUUAAACAGUACGUGAAAUUGUCAAAAGGGAAGCGUUUGACACCAGUGUUGUUUUUCUGAAAAUCAAUUAAAGAACUGUUUAUGCUAAGUUGUUUAGACUUUAUCAGCUAACUGUUUAGUUUUGAGCUUUUCUUUAAUGCACUUUUCAGUUAACAAGUCAACAUCAAUUUCUUUUGCUGUAAAAAAGCUUGAGGAAGGUGGCUUGAGAUCGUCUUAAGUGUUUAUAGCCCUCUUGCCUAUGCAGUCGGAGAGAUUGAGGUCUGCAGCGUAGGAUCCUUCGGGGCUAAAUGCAUUUGUGCUAAGUUAUAGCAUUUUAUAGACAACUUGUUGACUAUGAUUUGUCUUGUAGCUUACUCGCUUAUGUUAUUUUACCUACGCUUAGGAUGUUGACACACGCGCGUGCUCG